rnacentral:rRNA from 1 species
CCUACGGGGGGCAGCAGUGGGGGAUAUUGCACAAUGGGGGAAACCCUGAUGCAGCGACGCCGCGUGUGGGAAGACGGUCCUCUGGAUUGUAAACCACUGUCUCCAGGGACGAAGAUGACGGUACCUGGGGAGGAAGCUCCGGCUAACUACGUGCCAGCAGCCGCGGUAAUACGUAGGGAGCGAGCGUUGUCCGGAAUUACUGGGUGUAAGGGGAGCGUAGGCGGGGAUGAAAGUUGGGUGUCAAAACUACCGGCUCAACUGGUAGUCGCACUCAAAACUGCAGCUCUUGAGUGAAGUAGAGGCAGGCGGAAUUCCUAGUGUAGCGGUGAAAUGCGUAGAUAUUAGGAGGAACACCUGUGGCGAAGGCGGCCUGCUGGGCUUUUACUGACGCUGAGGCUCGAAAGUGUGGGGAGCAAACAGGAUUAGAUAACCUGGUAGUC